rnacentral:rRNA from 1 species
CCCCUAGAUGUUCUGGGCCGCACGCGCGCUACACUGAACAGUUCAACAAGUCUUAACCUUGGCCGAUAGGUCUGGGUAAUCUUUGAACGCUGUUCGUGAUUGGGAUAGACCUUUGCAAUUAUGGGUCUUCAACGAGGAAUUCCUAGUAAACGCAAGUCAUCAGCUUGCAUUGAUUACGUCCCUGCCCUUUGUACACACCGCCCGUCGCACCUACCGAUUGAGUGGUCCGGUGAAGUCUCGAGAUUGUGGCAAUCUCCUUUAUUGGAGUUUGACUGCGAGAACUUGCCUAAACCUUAUCACUUAGAGGAAGGUGAANUCGUAACA